UAGCUAGUUGGUGAGGUAAAGGCUUACCAAGGCGACGAUCUGUAGCGGGUCUGAGAGGAUGAUCCGCCACACUGGAACUGAGACACGGUCCAGACUCCUACGGGAGGCAGCAGUGGGGAAUUUUGGACAAUGGGGGCAACCCUGAUCCAGCCAUGCCGCGUGAGUGAAGAAGGCCUUCGGGUUGUAAAGCUCUUUCGGCCGGGAAGAAAUCGCAUGGGCCAAUACCCUGUGUGGAUGACGGUACCGGAAUAAGAAGCACCGGCUAACUACGUGCCAGCAGCCGCGGUAAUACGUAGGGUGCGAGCGUUAAUCGGAAUUACUGGGCGUAAAGCGUGCGCAGGCGGUUUUGUAAGACAGGCGUGGAAUCCCCGGGCUUAACCUGGGAACUGCGUUUGUGACUGCAAGGCUAGAGUACGGCAGAGGGGGGUGGAAUUCCACGUGUAGCAGUGAAAUGCGUAGAGAUGUGGAGGAACACCAAUGGCGAAGGCAGCCCCCUGGGUCGAUACUGACGCUCAUGCACGAAAGCGUGGGUAGCAAACAGGAUUAGAUACCCUGGUAGUCCACGCCCUAAACUAUGUCAACUAGGUGUUGGGUGGGUAAAUCCAUUUAGUACCGUAGCUAACGCGUGAAGUUGACCGCCUGGGGAGUACGGCCGCAAGGUUAAAACUCAAAGGAAUUGACGGGGACCCGCACAAGCGGUGGAUGAUGUGGAUUAAUUCGAUGCAACGCGAAAAACCUUACCUACCCUUGACAUGCCAGGAACUUGCCAGAGAUGGCUUGGUGCCCGAAAGGGAGCCUGGACACAGGUGCUGCAUGGCUGUCGUCAGCUCGUGUCGUGAGAUGUUGGGUUAAGUCCCGCAACGAGCGCAACCCUUGUCGUUAAUUGCCAUCAUUUAGUUGGGCACUUUAACGAGACUGCCGGUGACAAACCGGAGGAAGGUGGGGAUGACGUCAAGUCCUCAUGGCCCUUAUGGGUAGGGCUUCACACGUCAUACAAUGGUCGGUACAAAAGGUUGCCAAGCCGCGAGGCGGAGCCAAUCCCAGAAAGCCGAUCGUAGUCCGGAUUGCAGGCUGCAACUCGCCUGCAUGAAGUCGGAAUCGCUAGUAAUCGUGGAUCAGCAUGUCACGGUGAAUACGUUCCCGGGUCUUGUACACACCGCCCGUCACACCAUGGGAGCGGGUUCCGCCAGAAGUAGGUAGCCUAACCGCAAGGGGGGCGCUUACCACGGCGGGGUUCGUGACUGGGGUGAAGUCGUAACAAGGUAGCCGUAGGGGAACCUGCGGCUG
rnacentral:rRNA from 1 species